rnacentral:rRNA from 1 species
GAUCAUGGCUCAGGACGAACGCUGGCGGCGUGCUUAACACAUGCAAGUCGAGCGGAAAGGCCCUUCGGGGUACUCGAGCGGCGAACGGGUGAGUAACACGUGAGUAAUCUGCCCUUGGCUUUGGGAUAACUACCGGAAACGGUGGCUAAUACCGGAUACGACGCACUCAGGCAUCUGAUGUGUGUGGAAAGUUUUUUCGGCCAGGGAUGUGCUCGCGGCCUACCAGCUUGUUGGUGGGGUAAUGGCCUACCAAGGCUUCGACGGGUAGCCGGCCUGAGAGGGUGACCGGCCACACUGGGACUGAGACACGGCCCAGACUCCUACGGGAGGCAGCAGUGGGGAAUAUUGGACAAUGGGUGGAAGCCUGAUCCAGCAACGCCGCGUGAGGGAUGACGGCCUUCGGGUUGUAAACCUCUUUCAGUACCGACGAAGCGCCGAUGAUGGUGGUGACGGUAGGUACAGAAGAAGCACCGGCCAACUACGUG